GGAUUGUGGCUCAGCCGUAGAGCGCUCGCCUAGUACCAGUGAGAACCUGGGUUCAAUCCUCAGCACCA
rnacentral:tRNA from 1 species